rnacentral:sRNA from 1 species
AUGUACCACUUUACACUGCGGUUCUGAGCGCGCCGUCCGCGCGCACCUGACAGCUGUUCGCUACGUUGUGUUAGCC